rnacentral:rRNA from 1 species
AGAGUUUGAUCCUGGCUCAGAUUGAACGCUGGCGGCAUGCCUUACACAUGCAAGUCGAACGGCAGCGCGGACUUCGGUCUGGCGGCGAGUGGCGAACGGGUGAGUAAAGUAUCGGAACGUACCGUGUAGAGGGGGAUAACGCAGCGAAAGUUGCGCUAAUACCGCAUAAACUGUGAGCAGCAAAGCAGGGGAUCGCAAGACCUUGCGCUAGACGAGCGGCCGAUAUCAGAUUAGCUAGUUGGUGAGGUAAAGGCCCACCAAGGCAACGAUCUGUAGCGGGUCUGAGAGGAUGAUCCGCCACACUGGACUACGGGAGGCAGCAGUGGGGAAUUUUGGACAAUGGGGGCAACCCUGAUCCAGCCAUGCCGCGUGAGUGAAGAAGGCCUUCGGGUUGUAAAGCUCUUUCGGCCGGGAAGAAAUCGUGGAGGCUAAAACCCUUCAUGGAUGACGGUACCGGAACAAGAAGCACCGGCUAACUACGUGCCAGCAGCCGCGGUAAUACGUAGGGUGCGAGCGUUAAUCGGAAUUACUGGGCGUAAAGCGUGCGCAGGCGGUUUUGUAAGACAGGCGUGAAAUCCCCGGGCUCAACCUGGGAACUGCGCUUGUGACUGCAAGGCUAGAGUACGGCAGAGGGGGGUGGAAUUCCACGUGUAGCAGUGAAAUGCGUAGAGAUGUGGAGGAACACCAAUGGCGAAGGCAGCCCCCUGGGUCGAUACUGACGCUCAUGCACGAAAGCGUGGGUAGCAAACAGGAUUAGAUACCCUGGUAGUCCACGCCCUAAACGAUGUCAACUAGGUGUUGGGUGGGUAAAACCAUUUAGUACCGUAGCUAACGCGUGAAGUUGACCGCCUGGGGAGUACGGCCGCAAGGUUAAAACUCAAAGGAAUUGACGGGGACCCGCACAAGCGGUGGAUGAUGUGGAUUAAUUCGAUGCAACGCGAAAAACCUUACCUACCCUUGACAUGCCAGGAAUCCUUGAGAGAUUGAGGAGUGCCCGAAAGGGAGCCUGGACACAGGUGCUGCAUGGCUGUCGUCAGCUCGUGUCGUGAGAUGUUGGGUUAAGUCCCGCAACGAGCGCAACCCUUGUCGUUAAUUGCCAUCAUUUAGUUGGGCACUUUAACGAGACUGCCGGUGACAAGCCGGAGGAAGGUGGGGAUGACGUCAAGUCCUCAUGGCCCUUAUGGGUAGGGCUUCACACGUCAUACAAUGGUCGGUACAGAGGGUAGCCAAGCCGCGAGGUGGAGCCAAUCCCAGAAAGCCGAUCGUAGUCCGGAUCGUAGUCUGCAACUCGACUACGUGAAGUCGGAAUCGCUAGUAAUCGCGGAUCAGCAUGUCGCGGUGAAUACGUUCCCGGGUCUUGUACACACCGCCCGUCACACCAUGGGAGCGGGUUCCGCCAGA